UCGGUUUGACUUCUGAGUGUGCCUGGACUUUCUCUACCCGGCUAAACUGACCAGCCAUAUCCCCCACCUGCCCCCCGAUUUAUGUGGACAGAUAAUUACCAUAUAUAACUACAUGCAGUCAAGCGAGCAAGCUCGAUUUCAAAUUAUAUCCACCGGCCGCCGGUGUGAUGUUUCAUGGGAGGUGCCAUUCCAAAGAUUUAGCGUAUGUACAUGCAUACUAGAAUUGACGCCAAUUCAAAAGAGAUGCGUCCAUUGACCGGCGGCCAUGCACCACGCGCGCGCACGCCCGCCAUUGCUGUCGGAGUGCCAGCGUGCUAAUUAUUCGUUGUUAUUGUUGGAAUUUUUCAGCAGGUCAAACUAUGCCGCCAUCCGAUCUGUCGUUGUCGCCGUUGCCGACGACGUCCAUCGACUCUGUUGGCUUUGCACUUCACCACGUAUUGGUCAGUACUGCUCCGACACCUCGAUGCAUCAAUCACGAUGGCAACAACUAUGGUGGCACAUGUUAGAGGGAUGUGACUGUUCCAGCACCGCGGCGGCGGCUGCGCCGACGUACGACCAGCCAAAUUUAUAGUUGCUAAACAAACUCUAGAGAUGAGAAGAUGGGCGUAUGACCUGAUGGAAACAAGAGAAUAUACUGUAUAUGAUCGGUCGAUCUCAUGUAGAAGUCCAUAAAAUCAUGGAUGAACUAUUUGCGCUUUUGUGUAGUACAUCACUCUUAUAUCAAGGGAUAAUACUACAUACUACAUACUACCUACUACA